rfam:Triticum aestivum genome assembly, contig: Triticum_aestivum_CS42_TGACv1_scaffold_272909_3DS
AUGAUACUCCCUCCGUCCGGAAAUACUUGUCAUCAAAAUGGAUAAAAGAAGAUGUAUCAAACGUAUUUUAGUUCUAGAUACAUCCCCUUUUGUCCAUUUUGAUGACAAGUAUUUUCGGACGGAGGGAGUAUUAG